rnacentral:misc_RNA from 1 species
GAUGAAGAACGCAGCGAAAUGCGAUAAGUAGUGUGAAUUGCAGACUUUAGUGAAUCAUCGAAUCUUUGAACGCACAUUGCGCCCGCCAGUAUUCUGGCGGGCAUGCCUGUCUGAGCGUCAUUUCAACCCUCAUGCCCCUAGGGCGUGGUGUUGGGGAUCGGCCAAAGCCCGCGAGGGACGGCCGGACCCUAAAUCUAGUGGCGGACCCGUCGUGGCCUCCUCUGCGAAGUAGUGAUAUUCCGCAUCGGAGAGCGAUGAGCCCCUGCCGUUAAACCCCCAACUUUCCAAGGUUGACCUCAGAUCAGGUAGGAAUACCCGCUGAACUUAAGCAUAUCAAUAAGCGGAGA